UGGAGCCGGCGGGCCCAGGAGCAGGUAGGGGCUGGCCAGGGGGUGUGGCUGAGGCCAGGGUGGGUGCCCCUCACUCCCUGGCACCUCAUCUUCCUGCAGCUCCUGUGGGACUUGGAACUGCUGACUGGCAUGGGGCUGGGCCUCUUCUGGCCACCUGAGACCCAGUUACUCGGUCCAAGGGGCCAGGCCCGCCAUGCAUGGAGCCCGUGCUGCCAGCCAGGGCUACCAGGAGAAGCAGUGGACUCGUGGGGCCACGCCUGGCACACAGAGCCUGCUCUCUCCAGGCAAGCCGUUAUUCUCAUUCCACAGUUAACGACUGUCUUGGUCAAAUCACUUGCGUGGUGAUACCGGAAGCCUUUCCAUGUGACCACAGCGCGGCGGGAAAGGGGCCUGGCAGGGCCUCAGAGGGCAAAGGCACUGACUCCAAGGGUGCCCCUGAGACACAGGCGCUGACAGUCCCAGCCGCUGGCCCCUCCCUCCAGGACUGCAGCUAGGCUGAGCCCCCAGGAGGGAGGUGCUGUGGUGACUGGGCCCAGAACAGAGCUGGGAACUGGGAAUGUGCGUCCCAGUCCUGGCUCAACCACCAGCUGUCUGAGUCACUUUGGGCAGAAUUCUAGGCUGUCCCUCUACCCCAGGACAGGGACUCCCUGAGCCAAAACCACCAGCUCCC